AUUGAACGCUGGCGGCGUGCUUAACACAUGCAAGUCGAACGGAAGGAGGGUGCUUUCACCUCUGUGGAGUUGGGGACGGACGAGUGAUUCAUCGGUGGGUACCGUAUCUUUAAGGAUGGCUCAGCUUAGGCCGGCCUGAUACAGCACACGCCCUUAGGGUGAAAGUCAUGGUCCGAAAGGCCUCACGGGAUUUGAUCCCACGCUUUGUUAUUAGCUAGUUGGUUAGGUAACGGCUCACCAAGGCGUCGAUCCAUAGCAGGUCUGAGAGGAUGACCGGCCACACUGGGACUGAGACACGGCCCAGACUCCUACGGGAGGCAGCAGUGGGGAAUUUUGGACAAUGGGCGCAAGCCUGACGCAGCAACGCCGCGUGGCUGAAGAAGGCCUUCGGGUCGUAAAGGACUUUUGUCAGGGAGCAACUCCUAGCGGUUAAUAACCGCAGAGCCUGAGGGUACCGAAACAGAAAGCAGCGGCUAACUACGUG
rnacentral:rRNA from 1 species